CCUACGGGUGGCAGCAGUGAGGAAUAUUCGUCAAUGGGCGCGAGCCUGAACCAGCCAAGUCGCGUGAGGGAUGAAGGUUCUAUGGAUCGUAAACCCCUUUUAUAAGGGAAUAAAGUGUGGGACGUGUCCUAUUUUGUAUGUACCUUAUGAAUAAAGAUAGGCUAACUCCGUGACAGCAGCAGCGGUAAUACGGAGGAUCCGAGCGUUUUCCGGAUUUAUUGGGUUUAAAAGGUGCGUAGGCGGCCUUUUAAGUCAGGGGUGAAAGUCUGUGGCUUAACCAUAGAAUUGCCGUUGAUACUGGGGAGCUUGAGUAUGUUUGAGGCAGGCGGAAUGCGUGGUGGAGCGGUGAAAUGCUUAGAUAUCAGGCAGAACCCCGAUUGCGAAGGCAGCCUGCCAAGCCAUGACUGACGCUGAUGCACGAAAGCGUGGGGAUCAAACAGGAUUAGAUACCCCUGUAGUC
rnacentral:rRNA from 1 species